GUGCUCACUUCAUUAGCACAUAUACUAAAAUUGGAACAAUACAGAGAAGAUUUGCAUGGCCUCUGUGCAAGGAUGACAUGCAAAUUCAUGAAUCAUUCCAUAAUUUU